GACGAACGCUGGCGGCGUGCUUAACACAUGCAAGUCGAACGGAAAGGCCCUGCUUUUGUGGGGUGCUCGAGUGGCGAACGGGUGAGUAACACGUGAGUAACCUGCCCUUGACUUUGGGAUAACUUCAGGAAACUGGGGCUAAUACCGGAUAGGAGCUCCUGCUGCAUGGUGGGGGUUGGAAAGUUUCGGCGGUUGGGGAUGGACUCCCGGCUUAUCAGCUUGUUGGUGGGGUAGUGGCUUACCAAGGCUUUGACGGGUAGCCGGCCUGAGAGGGUGAACGGCCACAUUGGGACUGAGAUACGGCCCAGACUCCUACGGGCGGCAGCAGUGGGGAAUCUUGCACAAUGGGCGGAAGCCUGAUGAAGCAACGCCGCGUGCGGGAUGACGGCCUUCGGGUUGUAAACCGCUUUCGCCUGUGACGAAGCGUGAGUGACGGUAAUGGGUAAAGAAGCACCGGCUAACUACGUG
rnacentral:rRNA from 1 species